rnacentral:rRNA from 1 species
UGGGGAAUUUUGCACAAUGGGGGAAACCCUGAUGCAGCGACGCCGCGUGAUUUAGAAGGCCUUCGGGUUGUAAAAAUCUUUUCUAUGGAAGAAAAUGACAGUACCAUAGGAAUAAGGACCGGCUAAUUACGUGCCAGCAGCCGCGGUAAUACGUAAGGUCCGAGCGUUGUCCGGAAUCAUUGGGCGUAAAGGGUACGUAGGCGGGUAAGCAAGUUAGAAGUGAAAUCCUAUAGCUCAACUAUAGUAAGCUUUUAAAACUGCUCAUCUUGAGGUAUGGAAGGGAAAGUGGAAUUCCUAGUGUAGCGGUGAAAUGCGCAGAUAUUAGGAGGAAUACCGGUGGCGAAGGCGACUUUCUGGCCAUAACCUGACGCUGAGGUACGAAAGCGUGGGUAGCAAACAGG